GAUGAACGCUGGCGGCGUGCCUAAUACAUGCAAGUCGAGCGAACAGACGAGGAGCUUGCUCCUCUGACGUUAGCGGCGGACGGGUGAGUAACACGUGGAUAACCUACCUAUAAGACUGGGAUAACUUCGGGAAACCGGAGCUAAUACCGGAUAAUAUAUUGAACCGCAUGGUUCAAUAGUGAAAGACGGUUUUGCUGUCACUUAUAGAUGGAUCCGCGCCGCAUUAGCUAGUUGGUAAGGUAACGGCUUACCAAGGCAACGAUGCGUAGCCGACCUGAGAGGGUGAUCGGCCACACUGGAACUGAGACACGGUCCAGACUCCUACGGGAGGCAGCAGUAGGGAAUCUUCCGCAAAGGGCGAAAGCCUGACGGAGCAACGCCGCGUGAGUGAUGAAGGUCUUCGGAUCGUAAAACUCUGUUAUUAGGGAAGAACAAAUGUGUAAGUAAUUAUGCACGUCUUGACGGUACCUAAUCAGAAAGCCACGGCUAACUACGUG
rnacentral:rRNA from 1 species